rnacentral:rRNA from 1 species
UACGUAGGGUGCGAGCGUUGUCCGGAAUUAUUGGGCGUAAAGGGCUCGUAGGCGGUUUGUCGCGUCGGGAGUGAAAUCCACUGGCUUAACUGGUGGCUUGCUUUCGAUACGGGCAGACUGGAGGUAUGCAGGGGAGAACGGAAUUCCUGGUGUAGCGGUGAAAUGCGCAGAUAUUCGGAAGAACACCAGUGGCGAAGGCGGCUCACUGGCCCGUUACCGACGCUCAGGCGCGACAGCGUGGGGAGCAAACAGG